GAGGGUCCCUAGGGCCUCCCUGAAAGUGAGAAAAAGAAAAGGAAGCCGGCUGGUCCUAGCCUGGGGCCAGUGCUAUGGCGUCCACUGUCCUGGGGAAGGUGCCAGGCUGAAGCCCAGGAAUGUGGGUGAUCGGGUGCCCACACCCUGGGAGGAGAGGUUGAGCAGCCCACGCCCACGGAGAGCAGGGAGGAGGACCAUGAAGAAGGAUAAGGGAUGCUGAGCCCCCUCCUGUGGCCCCAGUGGGCCCCAAACUCCUGCCACACUGGACCUCCCCUCACCGGCCUUCCUGGGCAGAGUAUGGGAUGGUGAGAGGACUGGUCUGUCCCCAGACCGGAAGGGAGUAGCUGGAAUCACAGAAGCUGGCUCAGGAAGAACAGCCCUGACCCCCGAGACCCUGACCAGGGGAGGGAAGGACACUGGUGGCGACAAGCAAUGGUGACGCCGCUGCUGUGGCUAAUGGGACAGAGAAUGGGGCGGCACGGCUGGGGGCCGGCGGGGUCCCCGCCCGGUCUCUCUGGGCGGCCAUGCGGACCCGUCCUCCUGUCCAGUCAGCCGGCGGCCGCCCGGGCCUGGCACCUCUCUGCGCCUCCGCGGAACAAACAGCACAUGAUUCCGGCUCUCGAGCCUAGAUAGCGCCGCCGGGGAACGCAACCCGGACCCCGGCUCCCCGCCCCCCAAGCCGGCACAUUCCUCCGCGGGCGUCCCUUCCCUCCCCCUUCCCCAGCCCUCACCUCGGCGAGACGGGGCUCCCGGAGCAGCUCGGCGGAGUGAGAGGGGCAAGCUUUCCGGGAAGCCUGAGGCGGCAGCGGGGACGAUCCGGGGCCGGUUCGGAGCUGCCCCCGCCCCUCGCCGGGUCCCCGGGCGGCGGGCGGCGGACUAGCGCCCCGGGGUCGGCAGCAGUAGCGGCGCCAGCGGCCGGCGCCCGCCCGGGCAGCGCUAGCUGGGGCGGGAGCGAGGGGCGGGGGACGCGCGGGCGGGCGCGCGCGGAGGGGCGGCCGCGCGCCGUCACAGGAAGGUGCCGGGAGCGACUCGGGCUUCUCUUGUUAAAGGGGCAACGCUCCCGGCCUAUGGGGCCCAGCGAGCGGGGACGCGGGAACUGAGCUCCGGACGCGGAAGGCGGGGCAGACGCCGCGCUACAGAAGGGUUGCGAACGCCUAAAGAGCAGGCAAAGGUCGGGGGCUGACCCACGGGGGGACGCAGGCCCGGGCCCCGCGCACGUCACCGCCGUCGGAGGCGCGCCCAGGGGGCGGAGCCUCCUGCCGAGCCCCGCCCAGAAGGCGGCUCCGCUCAUGUUCCACCCUCAGGAGCGCGCCGCCUGCCAGCUCCUCCCGCUGCUCGAAUCGCAGUCUCUCUUCUCCCCGCCUCGCCGAGUUCUAGAAUUCGCCGCGCAGCUGCUUCAGGAUAAAUCCGAGUCACCUCUGCAGUUCCAACCAGCUGUUUCUGUCCUAGCCUACA